GUGCUUUCCUGGCAAGACUGCUAGCAAGCAGCACCCUUUCUGCAGAAAGUAAACUAGCCUUGCUGAGAGAUUCUUUGUCUCAGUGUUGAUUUUUGCAACACCGAGCACUAGUUCCCAACAAUUUGGUGGCCCGUAUGGGGAAUAACAUUCCCCUCUUGGAUGGUGUUUGCCCCUCUCUCAUGGGGAGGUGCCCUGCCACCCGUUGUUGCCGCGGCCCCAGCAGGAGAGCCGGGACCUACCUGGUGUGAGGAAUAUACUUGGAGUCUCAGCAUCGGCGGGGAAAGAGAGAGGCUUGUGGGACCGUGGUGACCAGGUGACUCCGUGCGUGGGCCAAGGUAGGAAAAGCCGCAAGAGGGGGGCAAAGUACUUCCUUGGUGGUCAGCUUUUGGAGGAUGAGUAAUUGUGUGUAUGUGUGAAUGAUUAUCUGUGCUACGAGUCCUGCUGUUCGGCAGAAUGUGUGAACACAGACGGAAACAAUGUAAGGGACCUCCAAAAGGGAGAGGGAGGAAGGUUAACCUCUUGGGAAAGAGAAUCAGCGAGACAUCUCUGGUUUGAGAGAUUGAGUCUUUUAGCAAGCUUUUAAAGACUGGACAGGUGAGAAAUCUCCAGUCUGAAGGAUCUGGGGGAUUGGGCCUCCCCGGGAGAAAGAUAGGUAAGACAUCCCUAGUAUGUGGGAUUGGACUUAUCUAGGAUCAAACAUGGGAAAAGGCCCUUGGCAAGCCUCCAGAGGAAGGGAGGAUGAGAAGCCUCUAGUAGAAGAGGUUGAGCCCCCUUCUGUGCACCCAGGAGUGCUAGAAACCUCCAGCAAGGGGGGUUGAAAGCUCCAGGAAAAAGGCCUAUUCUAGUUAGGCACCACCCCAAACCUUCAAGAUAGGAAAUAUUCCGAGUAAAACAGGGAAAAUAAAGAGCUGUGGCUACAGCAGUAUUAGUUGAAGAAGGUAGAAAAUUAACCUUUUGGGGGGAAAUUAAUUGUAAGCAUGCCCCACCAAGUUAGAGCUAUUGUAAAUCAAAAAGCAGGAAGGUAGCUUACUGACUCCAGAAUCUUAAAAUAUAAGGCUAUUUUGCUAGGAAAAGAUGAUUUCAUCUUGACUACUGAUAAUUCA
rnacentral:lncRNA from 1 species